UUCCAGACUCCUACGGGAGGCAGCAGUGAGGAAUAUUGGUCAAUGGGCGCGAGCCUGAACCAGCCAAGUAGCGUGAAGGAUGACUGCCCUACGGGUUGUAAACUUCUUUUAUAAAGGAAUAAAGUGAGGCACGUGUGCCUUUUUGUAUGUACUUUAUGAAUAAGGAUCGGCUAACUCCGUGCCAGCAGCCGCGGUAAUACGGAGGAUCCGAGCGUUAGUCGGAAUUACUGGGCGUAAAGCGCUCGUAGGCGGUAUGUCAAGUCAAGGGUGAAAUCCCCGCGCUCAACGUGGGAACUGCCUUUGAAACUGGCAAACUGGAGUGUGUGAGAGGAUAGUGGAAUUCCAGGUGUAGGAGUGAAAUCCGUAGAUAUCUGGAGGAACAUCAGUGGCGAAGGCGACUAUCUGGCACAUAACUGACGCUGAGGAGCGAAAGCGUGGGCAGCAAACAGGAUUAGAUACCCUAGUA
rnacentral:rRNA from 1 species